rnacentral:lncRNA from 1 species
GAUGAGAAGAGCACAAGAUGUCGUAGGCAUAAGAUGCCGCAGGCAUAUGCUGCCUCUCGCAUGAAAAUGAGAAGAGCACAAGAUGCCACAGGCACAUAAUACCUCUUGUAAGGGCUAACUAACCAGACCCUCAGAAUGGUGUCGAGGAGAGCAUAAGAUGCUGUAGGCACAAGAUGCUGCAGGCACACGCUGCCUCUCACGC